CAACCUCAGUCAGGGUGCGUUCCUCGUGGGCCAGGAUCUCAAACCCAGCAUCUUGAAUCUAGCCAGGGGAGUAAUGUCAGUCAAAUUAAAUCUGCACAAGAAGAGAAAAGAGGAGGAAAAGCAUCAAAUCAGAUCAACAAUGGACCGACUUCUCGUUGGCCAGUUCCUCCACAAUCAUCCUCUGUAGGAGAGGAGCAUUGGCCCCUCGCAGCACAGCCA